rnacentral:rRNA from 1 species
GUUGAACGCUGGCGGCAGGCCUAACACAUGCAAGUCGAGCGGAAGAAGGGAGCUUGCUCCUGGUUUCAGCGGCGGACGGGUGAGUAUAGCCUAUGAGUCUGCCUGGUAGCGGGGGAUAACAUCCGGGAGCGAGCGCUAAUACCGCAUACGGGGUGAGGGAGAAAGAGGGGGUUCUUGGGACCUUACGCUCUCAGAUGAGCUUAGGUGGGAUUACCUAGUUGGUGGGGUAAAGGCCUACCAAGGCGACGAUCCGGAACUGGUGUGAGGGGAUGAAUAGUCACAGUGGGACUGAGACGCGGUCCUGACUCUGAGGGGAGGCAGCAGUGGGGAAUGUUGGACGAUGGGCGAAAGCCUGAUCCAUCCAUGCCGGGUGGGUGAAGAAGGUCUUCGGAGUGUAAAGCACUUUAAGGUGUGAGAAAGGGCAGCAAGUGAAUACCUUGGUGUUUUGACGGUACCAACAGAAUAAGCACCGGCUAACUUCGUG